CCAGACUUGGGUCGUGUCCUGCCUCUGGCCUCAGGGCGGGUCGACCCCAUUCCCGCGCUGACUCAGGGAGGAGGUGGGGUGGUUCUCUGCGCCAAAACGGGGGCUCCUUCCAGAAGCUGCUGAAGGUCCCUGGAGGGGGAUGCGCUUCGUUCCUGUAACCGUCGCUGCUCUGGUCCUUGUGAGAAAUGAGCAGAUGCUCCACGCGGCCGCUUCUGCAGGAGAUGGACUUCCCUGACCCUCGAAGCAGCCCGCCCCUCCGAGAGGGGAGGAAACUGAGGCUCGGUGAAGCAAAGCGGCCCGCCCCAGGGUCACCCUGUCUGGAAAACUCGGGAUCCAGGAUUCAGACCCAGCCUUUCCUGAGAGCUCACCCAGCAACUUGCGUGUGUUCUGCGCGGGCGUGUAUAAUGUGGCAUUUAACUUUUCGUGAGCAAGGAGGUGGAUAUUGUGUUUCCCAGUAAACAGAC
rnacentral:lncRNA from 1 species